rnacentral:rRNA from 1 species
GACGAACGCUGGCGGCGUGCUUAACACAUGCAAGUCGAACGGAAAGGCCCUGCUUUUGUGGGGUGCUCGAGUGGCGAACGGGUGAGUAACACGUGAGUAACCUGCCCUUGACUUUGGGAUAACUUCAGGAAACUGGGGCUAAUACCGGAUAGGAGCUCCUGCUGCAUGGUGGGGGUUGGAAAGUUUCGGCGGUUGGGGAUGGACUCGCGGCUUAUCAGCUUGUUGGUGGGGUAGUGGCUUACCAAGGCUUUGACGGGUAGCCGGCCUGAGAGGGUGACCGGCCACAUUGGGACUGAGAUACGGACCAGACUGCUACGGGAGGCAGCAGUGGAGAAUAUUGCACAAUGGGCGGAAGCCUGAUGCAGCAACGCCGCGUGCGGGAUGACGGCCUUCGGGUUGUAAACCGCUUUCGCCUGUGACGAAGCGUGAGUGACGGUAAUGGGUAAAGAAGCACCGGCUAACUACGUG